rnacentral:rRNA from 1 species
GACAGAGGGGGCAAACGUUGCUCGGAAUUACUGGGCGUAAAGGGCGCGUAGGCGGGAUGGCAAGUCGGUCGUGAAAUCCCUCGGCUCAACCGAGGAACGUCGAUCGAUACUGCUGUUCUUGAGGAUUGCAGAGGAGACUGGAAUUCCCGGUGUAGCGGUGAAAUAUGUAGAGAUCGGGAGGAACACCGGUGGCGAAGGCGGGUCUCUGGGCAAUUCCUGACGCUGAGGCGCGAAAGCGUGGGGAGCAAACGGG